GGAAACAGAUGCUAAUACCGAAUAAAACUUAGUGUCGCAUGACACAAAGUUAAAAGGCGCUUCGGCGUCACCUAGAGAUGGAUCCGCGGUGCAUUAGUUAGUUGGUGGGGUAAAGGCCUACCAAGACAAUGAUGCAUAGCCGAGUUGAGAGACUGAUCGGCCACAUUGGGACUGAGACACGGCCCAAACUCCUACGGGAGGCUGCAGUAGGGAAUCUUCCACAAUGGGCGAAAGCCUGAUGGAGCAACGCCGCGUGUGUGAUGAAGGCUUUCGGGUCGUAAAGCACUGUUGUAUGGGAAGAACAGCUAGAAUAGGAAAUGAUUUUAGUUUGACGGUACCAUACCAGAAAGGGACGGCUAAAUACGUGCCAGCAGCCGCGGUAAUACGUAUGUCCCGAGCGUUAUCCGGAUUUAUUGGGCGUAAAGCGAGCGCAGACGGUUUAUUAAGUCUGAUGUGAAAGCCCGGAGCUCAACUCCGGAAUGGCAUUGGAAACUGGUUAACUUGAGUGCAGUAGAGGUAAGUGGAACUCCAUGUGUAGCGGUGGAAUGCGUAGAUAUAUGGAAGAACACCAGUGGCGAAGGCGGCUUACUGGACUGCAACUGACGUUGAGGCUCGAAAGUGUGGGUAGCAAACAGGAUUAGAUACCCUGGUAGUCCACACCGUAAACGAUGAACACUAGGUGUUAGGAGGUUUCCGCCUCUUAGUGCCGAAGCUAACGCAUUAAGUGUUCCGCCUGGGGAGUACGACCGCAAGGUUGAAACUCAAAGGAAUUGACGGGGACCCGCACAAGCGGUGGAGCAUGUGGUUUAAUUCGAAGCAACGCGCAGAACCUUACCAGGUCUUGACAUCCUUUGAAGCUUUUAGAGAUAGAAGUGUUCUCUUCGGAGACAAAGUGACAGGUGGUGCAUGGUCGUCGUCAGCUCGUGUCGUG
rnacentral:rRNA from 1 species